UAUGAUUACGUGCUAUUGCUUCACUCUAUUUCUAGUUGAUUUAUUUUUGGAAGUACAGAAGCUUCAAGUUUGGAGGGCCGAAUUUCUAAUGAGGAGGGAACAGAACUGCUGCGUUUAGCUCCAAGUUUCCUGCAUUAUGAACGACGAGAAUGGCCUAAUGUAAGAACUUUGGUUCUUGCGUUGGUAUCUGUUCAGAAGGAUGUCAAGUCUCCAUCUUACAAUCUGAUGGAUAAACCCCAUGAUGGUGCAUUUACCUUUUGGUCGAUCCAUCUUUCACCUCUGCACCAGAAAGGACCUUACUGCAAUAUGUGGAAUUCUAGAGUCAACUGGCUAGAGAUGAUGAGGGAACUGCAAAUGAGGGUGGUUCUAAGAUCCGUGAAGCUUAUCUCAUAUUCCAGGACAUUUUUGCGGAUGCUGAAACUGUAUUCGCGGCUCAACACCUGCAUCCCAUGGAUUUGCCUUCUCUGAAC